AAAUAACCCUAGGGCCCUCGGUGGACCAAAAAAUACGAAAAAUUGAGACCUACCGGCGGCGGAGCUCUCGAGUGCAGCAGCUUCUCCGGCGCGAGUCGCGGUUUGAUGUUUUGUUCCGGUCAACCUCUAGAGAAAAGGACGGUGAUCACAGUGGUGUAAAAAUUGCAUCGAACAGGAACCGAAAAGGGUCUCAUCGGAGGCAAAAAUCGAGGGAAGCCGCGGCAGCGCCGCUAGACUUCGGUGGUAUUUUUCAGCCGAUUGAACGGUGGUUUGGCUCCGAUUUAUCCAUGGGCGGAUUCAGCAUCGAAAAACAAGCCAAAGGGAGAAAAUUUACCUCGUUUGACGGUCGAAAAACCCUCCGGUGCGGUGGCGGGUGGCGGCGGCCGGCUCCUCCGGC
rnacentral:lncRNA from 1 species